CUAUGCGCCUUGCCAGCCCGCUCAGGUGUGCCAGCAGCCGCGGUAAUACGUAGGUGGCAAGCGUUGUCCGGAUUUACUGGGUGUAAAGGGCGUGUAGCCGGGCUUACAAGUCAGGUGUGAAAUCCGGGGGCUCAACCCCCGAACUGCACUUGAAACUGUAGGUCUUGAGUAUCGGAGAGGCAGGCGGAAUUCCUAGUGUAGCGGUGAAAUGCGUAGAUAUUAGGAGGAACACCAGUGGCGAAGGCGGCCUGCUGGACGACAACUGACGGUGAGGCGCGAAAGCGUGGGGAGCAAACAGG
rnacentral:rRNA from 1 species